GGAUGCUCUACUUGCAUUGUUUGUGACUGAUUAUGCUAGAAGGUAAUUAAAUGCCUAAGUACACUUCAAAAUAGACAACUGGACCUGAGUUCUUUAAAAUUUUCCGCAUGCUUUUAUUAACACUAUCAGUUUUAGCACGGAUAAAACUAUAAACAGGGAUAUGUAUCUAGCUGGGUUGGCAUAAUCAUUUCUUACUAUGCACUUGUUUCAACCCCUUCUUUUGUGCUCUUUUGGGGCUCUGGUUACUUCUCACUAGUCAGCAUACCAGGAAUUUUGUUCAAAUGAGGCAUCUUUGCCCUAUUAUUUUCUCUGUUUUAUGACUACCAUGUCCACCUGCCUAAGUCAUGAUUAGAUCUUUUUAUUGAAAUGACAUUAAUAUUGGAUUUUUAAGGAGUUAUUGUUCCAGAUCUCACCAUCAUGGAUGCUCCUUCUAUAAUUAUCUGUCAUCUGAUGUAUUUUUAUUUGAC
rnacentral:misc_RNA from 1 species